GGGAUUGUAGUUCAAUUGGUUAGAGCACUGCCCUGUCACGGCAGAAGUUGCGGGUUCGAGUCCCGUCAGUCCCG
rnacentral:tRNA from 4 species